GUGGUUGUGGCUCAGAGGUAGAGUGCUUGCCUAGCAUGCACGAGACCUGGGUUUGAUCCACAGCACCACA
rnacentral:tRNA from 1 species